rnacentral:lncRNA from 1 species
CUUGAGAGCAGCGUGUAUCUUGAAGAUCUGCGAAAUAGCAGAUCUUCAGUGAGCUGUACCGGUACAAAUCUGGGUUUGUACCGGUACAAAGUGGAAGCAGGGUGCAAGUUGACUUUUGGCCAUCUUGUCACAUCACCCCCCCCUUUAACCCUUACCUUGGAGCAGAGAGGAGAGAGAGAGGGGAGCUUCUUCAUGCUGCUGCUGCUGUGCUUCUUCUUCCUCUCCUUCUACUUCCCUUAGCAACCUAGAGUGUUGGAGGAGCUCAAGAGAAGCUCGAGCUUCGUCGACGACGCGCCGCGGAGCGGAUCGAGCGAGUUUCCGACGAGGUGACGCUGCGAGGAGGCCGUGCUACAGCCGAUCCUUGCCAUCCUCGACGAGGUGCUGCUCGCAGGGAGGGUUUGUCGAGGUGAGUGGCUCCUUGAGAUCGCUUUUAUGGCUUUAAACUUCUACGAUUUUCGAACUGCACUGCUGCUGCUGCUGAUUCCAGCGUCGACCCGCAGAGUUUUGACUCGUAUUCCGUGCAGGAGCAUCGGAACGUGACGCGACUUGAUUCGUUCGAACCGAGACUUCGAGACGAAUCCAUAGGAUCCUCACUCGCCCGAUUUGGAGAAGGUUUGCUCUGUCGAAAUCCCUUUUUACUGAGUUGCUGUUUGCCGAGCAGACUCUGAAGUGCUGAUUGCUGAUUCCAGCAUCGACCCGCCGUGUUUUACCUAGUUCUCUGUGUAGGAGUGUCGAAACGCGACGAAAUUUGGCGUUAUGCUAGAUUCGCGACUUCGAGACGAAGAUUCUGAGCCCAAGAUCGCGAUUUUUGGAGCAGGUUUGCCCUGUCGAACCCUAGUUUUACUAGGCUGCUGUUUGCCGAGCAGAUUUCAGAGAUGCUGUUUCGCAGGUUCCAGCGUCGACGUUUCGUAUUCUGGCCCGUUCUCUGCGUAGGAGCGUCGGAAUUCAGCGAAACCUGGGCCAUUGGAUUCGUGACUUCGAGACGAAGCUUCAGAACCCUUGUUUGCUGAAUUUGGAUAAGGUUAGCUUGGUCGGAUUUAACGCUUUCUUCGCUGCUGUUUUCUGGGCAGAUUUCGUGAUUUUGAGUGCAAUUGUGUUUACUUCUUCGCAGCAGGAGAACCGGAGACUUCGACGGACCAGCGAGGGAUCAAUUUGGAUCCGGGCCACUUUCUUUGCUGCCAGGAGUUGCUUGAGAGGUGGGUUCAUCGGUUUUGCCUUUAAGUACAUAUUAGUCGACUUGUAUGCUUUGUUCGUUGAACACUAAAUGAGGUAGCUCAAAUUCAUGGAUUAGUAUAUUAAAAACCUGAAUUGGGAGCAUGCUUAGUGAGUGAUGAUAAUUGAUACUUGUUGGACUUGGAUUUGACUUAGGAGAAAACCCUGAAUUGAUCGUCAUUUACAUACACUGCCGGAUUUAGCUCUAGGAGCCGUGUUGCAUUGUAUCGUCGCGGGCUUUGUGCGAUGGAUACCCAGGAUAGUGUAGCUUGUGUUUGUGCUCGUGCUGGGACGCCGAGCUUAUACUAGCUGAGUGUAGACUGUUACGGGGUGUCGGGCGCCGUCAGGGUAGGCGGUGGGCCCC